rnacentral:misc_RNA from 1 species
GCCAUAGUAGCUAACAAAUGAGCCACCGAGUUCACUGACCUCUUAAUAAAAACCACAGGCGUAUCUGGAAAAGAAUCCAAUGGUGCCAAACAAUUCUCAACUAAAGACCCAAAAUAAGAAGCAUUUGAUUGCCUUGUCCGAAUCUCCUGCACAAGGAGCAAAGAAUCCAACUCAAAAACAACAUUGCCACAAUAACACUCUUUCAGCCAGCCCAAGGCCUCUCGAAAUGCCAUAACUUCAGCUAUUUUAGGAUCUUGCGGACCUUGAGCACCAUUUGACAAGCAUGCUAUACUCUUCCUGCAUCAUCUCGAACUACCCAUCCCGUACCUAAACGCUGCAAACGAGAUAGCAGCGAGGCAUCCACAUUGCAUUUUAAAGAUCCUGGAGGCGGCCGCACCCACUUCACACAUCCGUCCCCUUGCUGAACCACUAUCGAACCUGAACCUUGGCCAACAACAGAGCCUUGAGCAGCCAACCAAUUAUGUAGAAAGGUUGAUCCCAUAUUCACAAUCUGACCUGCAGAUAUAAACUUUCCAUUCCACAGGCUAUUGCUCCUGUUACUCCAUAGAGCCCAUAACACCAUACAGGACAAUUGUG